UACGGAGGGUGCAAGCGUUAUCCGGAUUCACUGGGUUUAAAGGGAGCGUAGGAGGGCAGGUAAGUCAGUGGUGAAAUCUUCGAGCUUAACUCGGAAACUGCCGUUGAUACUAUCUGUCUUGAAUACCGUGGAGAUGAGCGGAAUAUGUCAUGUAGCGGUGAAAUGCUUAGAUAUGACAUAGAAUACCGAUUGCGAAGGCAGCUCGCUAAACGAUCAUUGACGCUGAGGCACGAAAGCGUGGGGAUCAAACAGG
rnacentral:rRNA from 1 species